AUAUAGUCCGGCUGCGUCGGUGUUCGCUCCUCCGGCCGGCCGGAGGAGCGAACCGCAAGAAGAGAAUCCGGUGCGAUUCCGGAACUGCCCCGCAGCGGUGAGCGAAAACGACCCCCGCCAUCACGCGCCGGACACGUGUCCGGGAAGCGGCGGGCACUAGGAAACCGGCCAUACCCGGCCGCCUGUUCGCCAGUCCGAAGACCUGCCGACGCCGUCCGCGCCGA
rnacentral:ncRNA from 2 species